UACAGGGGGUGCAAACGUUGCUCGGAAUCAUUGGGCGUAAAAGCGCACGUAGGCGGUCUGUUAUGUCGGAUGUGAAAGCCCUUGGACUUGAACUGAGGAAGUGCAUCCGAAACUGGCAGGCUAGAGUACUAAAGAGGGUCGCGGGAAUUCCCGGUGUAGAGGUGAAAUUCGUAGAUAUCGGGAGGAACACCGGUGGCGAAGGCGGCGACCUGGGUAGAUACUGACGCUGAGGUGCGAAAGCGUGGGGAGCGAACGAGG
rnacentral:rRNA from 1 species